UACAGAGGGUGCGAGCGUUAAUCGGAAUUACUGGGCGUAAAGCGUGCGUAGACGGUUAUUUAAGUCGGGUGUGAAAGCCCCGGGCUCAACCUGGGAAUUGCAUUCGAGACUGAAUAGCUAGGGUACGGUAGAGGGAAGUGGAAUUUCCGGUGUAGCGGUGAAAUGCGUAGAUAUCGGAAGGAACAUCAGUGGCGAAGGCGACUUUCUGGACAAAUACUGACACUGAGGUACGAAAGCAUGGGGAGCAAACAGG
rnacentral:rRNA from 1 species